rnacentral:tRNA from 1 species
GCGGGAGUAAUUCAGUGGCAGAAUGUCAGCUUCCCAAGCUGAACGUCACGGGUUCGAUCCCCGUCUCCCGCUCCA